AUUGAACGCUGGCGGCAUGCUUUACACAUGCAAGUCGAACGGCAGCACGGGCUUCGGCCUGGUGGCGAGUGGCGAACGGGUGAGUAAUAUAUCGGAACGUACCCAGAAGUGGGGGAUAACGUAGCGAAAGUUACGCUAAUACCGCAUACGAUCUAUGGAUGAAAGCAGGGGACCGCAAGGCCUUGUGCUCCUGGAGCGGCCGAUAUCUGAUUAGCUAGUUGGUGAGGUAAAGGCUCACCAAGGCGACGAUCAGUAGCUGGUCUGAGAGGACGACCAGCCACAAUGGAACUGAGGACCGGUCCAGGCUCCUAAGGGAGGGAACAGUGGGGAAUUUUGGACAAUGGGCGCAAGCCUGAUCCAGCAAUGCCGCGUGAGUGAAGAAGGCCUUCGGGUUGUAAAGCUCUUUUGUCAGGGAAGAAACGGUAGAGGCUAAUAUCCUUUGCCAAUGACGGUACCUGAAGAAUAAGCACCGGCUAACUACGUG
rnacentral:rRNA from 1 species